rnacentral:rRNA from 1 species
UACGAAGGGGGCUAGCGUUGUUCGGAAUUACUGGGCGUAAAGCGCGCGCAGGCGGUUCUCCAAGUCAGUGGUGAAAGCCCGGAGCUCAACUCCGGAACUGCCAUUGAAACUGUUUAGCUUGAGGAUGAGAGAGGUGAGUGGAAUUCCCAGUGUAGAGGUGAAAUUCGUAGAUAUUGGGAAGAACACCGGUGGCGAAGGCGGCUCACUGGCUCAUUACUGACGCUCAGGCGCGAUAGCGUGGGGAUCAAACAGG